UACGAAGGGGGCUAGCGUUAUUCGGAAUCACUGGGCGUAAAGCGCACGCAGGCGGCUUGAUAAGUCGGGGGUGAAAGCCCGGGGCUCAACCUCGGAAUUGCCUUCGAUACUGUCGGUCUCGAGUCCGGGAGAGGUGAGGGGAAUUCCUAGUGUAGAGGUGAAAUUCGUAGAUAUUAGGAAGAACACCAGUGGCGAAGGCGGCUCUCUGGACGGGUACUGACGCUCAGGUGCGAAAGCGUGGGGAGCAAACAGG
rnacentral:rRNA from 1 species